UACGGGGGGGGCAAGCGUUGUUCGGAAUUACUGGGCGUAAAGGGCUCGUAGGCGGCCAACUAAGUCAUACGUGAAAUCCCUCAGCUUAACUGGGGAACUGCGUGUGAUACUGGAUGGCUUGGAUUUGGGAGAGGGAUGCGGAAUUCCAGGUGUAGCGGUGAAAUGCGUAGAUAUCAGGAGGAACACCAAUGGCGAAGGCAGCACUCUGGUACGUGACUGACGCUGAGACGCGAAAGCGUGGGGAGCAAACAGG
rnacentral:rRNA from 1 species